CCCUCUAGUGGCCGCAGUGAGCAUGCACAGUCUGAAGAGGAGGUCAUCUCACUGGGGAAGGGCUGUGACGGGCACACCCCCUGCAUGACGUCACGCACGCCCUCAGUCACUGCGAGCUGCUGCUUUAACUUCAGACUUUAAGGUGGGCUCUGAGGAUUUAACUGGAAUGUGUUCUCCUCUCCUGCACUCCUCAGUGUAAGGGGCUGAUCGUCACACCACUAGCUGGCUGCCUUUUUCUACAUUCUUCCUACAGACUGAGGACUUUACAUUUAUUUUCUUAUCUGCACAGACUGGAAUUACUACUGUUACACAGUCAUCUGUAUAAGAACCGGAUUUUAUUCAACUAUAUCCACUGAUCUUCCAGGAAAAUAACAUAGCAAGGAUAUCCAACGAGGAAUAUUUCUACAAGGAACGUUUCAAGUAUUGGCUAGAGGAAAACUAUUGCAUUUAUUGGAGAAUAUAUAAUACUUUUGUCCCUCUAUCUUCCACUAUAUACUUAUAAAACAAGUA